GACGAACGCUGGCGGCGUGCUUAACACAUGCAAGUCGAACGAAAAUACCAAGCUUGCUUGGUUGAUUAGUGGCGAACGGGUGAGUAACACGUGAGUAACCUGCCCCUUACUUUCUGGAUAACUGCUCGAAAGGGUAGCUAAUACGGGAUAUUCUGGCCUUCCUGCAUGGGUUGGUUUGGAAAGGUUGUUUUUUCUGGUGAGGGAUGGGCUCGCGGCCUAUCAGCUUGUUGGUGGGGUGAUGGCCUACCAAGGCGACGACGGGUAGCCGGCCUGAGAGGGUGACCGGCCACACUGGGACUGAGACACGGCCCAGACUCCUACGGGAGGCAGCAGUGGGGAAUAUUGCACAAUGGGCGCAAGCCUGAUGCAGCGACGCCGCGUGAGGGAUGACGGCCUUCGGGUUGUAAACCUCUGUUAGCAGGGAAGAAGAGAAAUUGACGGUACCUGCAGAGAAAGCGCCGGCUAACUACGUGCCAGCAGCCGCGGUAAUACGUAGGGCGCGAGCGUUGUCCGGAAUUAUUGGGCGUAAAGAGCUUGUAGGCGGUUUGUCGCGUCUGCUGUGAAAGGCCGGGGCUUAACCCCGUGUAUUGCAGUGGGUACGGGCAGACUAGAGUGCAGUAGGGGAGACUGGAAUUCCUGGUGUAGCGGUGGAAUGCGCAGAUAUCAGGAGGAACACCGAUGGCGAAGGCAGGUCUCUGGGCUGUAACUGACGCUGAGAAGCGAAAGCAUGGGGAGCGAACAGG
rnacentral:rRNA from 1 species